rnacentral:rRNA from 1 species
CAAUAGCGUAUAUUAAAGUUGUUGCAGUUAAAAAGCUCGUAGUUGGAUUUCUGGUAGGAGUGACCGUUCCGAACUUGAUUGUUCGUGUAUUGUGUUUUCUCCAGCCAUCCUUGUGGAGAACUUUUCUUGCAUUAAUUUGUAGGGAUUGGGACCCGCAUCGUUUACUGUGAAAAAAUUAGAGUGUUUAAAGCAGGCAAUCGCUUGGAUACAUUAGCAUGGAAUAAUAAGAUAGGACUUUGGUACUAUUUUGUUGGUUUGCAUACCAAAUUAAUGAUCAACAGGAACAGUUUGAGGAUAUUCGUAUGAACAUGUCAGAGGUGAAAUUCUUGGAUUUUGAUCAGACGAACUACUGCGAAAGCAUUUAUCAAGGAUGUUUUCAUUAA